rnacentral:tRNA from 1 species
AGUGUAAUGUCUGAUUAAAGUAAUAAAUUGUAAAUUUAUUUAAGGAAAUUUUUUUUUUCUUACACUA